UGGCUCGACAACCUCUUUGGAGCCUUGGGGACGAAGAAGGUGUACUUGAGGCGCGGGGUCUUCUGGUCGGUCACCACCAAGGCUUGCAAGGUGCUUAAGUUGUCACAUGAGGCCAGGAUGGUGAGGAAGGAAGCUCGACCACCGGGGCUGAAAAGAUCCAACUGAACAGUCGAGGAAUGCGCAGAUCGGAAGGCAAAGUCCUACCAUGGUCAUUGUCUAGGAAGUCAGUGAUGAAGCGGGCACUGCAUGGGGACCACAUCUCUUCAGGGUCCACGGGGGACAUGAUGGAGGCCAUCAUGUGGCAAAUUUCGCAGCGUCUCGGCAGCGUUGGACGACACCCGCAACCCGUCCUUGGAUUGUCCAAUCACAACCAGCCUGGUCACGACCAAGUUGACUGG